rnacentral:rRNA from 1 species
AGUGAACGCUGGCGGUAGGCCUAACACAUGCAAGUCGAACGGCAGCACAGUAAGAGCUUGCUCUUACGGGUGGCGAGUGGCGGACGGGUGAGGAAUACAUCGGAAUCUACUUUUUCGUGGGGGAUAACGUAGGGAAACUUACGCUAAUACCGCAUACGACCUACGGGUGAAAGCAGGGGAUCUUCGGACCUUGCGCGAUUGAAUGAGCCUAUGUGGGAUUAGCUAGUUGGCGGGGUAAAGGCCCACCAAGGCGACGAUCCGUAGCUGGUCUGAGAGGAUGAUCAGCCACACUGGAACUGAGACACGGUCCAGACUCCUACGGGAGGCAGCAGUGGGGAAUAUUGGACAAUGGGCGGAAGACUGAUCCAGCCAUACCGCGUGGGUGAAGAAGGCCUUCGGGUUGUAAAGCCGUUUUGUUGGGAAAGAAAAGCAGCAGGUUAAUACCCCGCUGUUCUGACGGUACCCAAAGAAUAAGCACCGGCUAACUUCGUG